UUGAAACUUGUUGAGAUACUGUGUAAUUACUACACUAGACAUCUCCUAUUCUGAAGGGCCUUAGAGAGCCAUAUGAAUUGCGCAAGAUGAUGUCCUUAAACUUGGACAUGACUGUCACUUUUGUUCUCAUUUAAACUACUAGGAUAAGGGAAAGAAAAAUGCUCGUAGAGCAUUAUAUUAUUUUCCAGUUAUCCUUGUCCAUAAGCAAAAUUUCAAGUGUGAAGCACGUGCCCUAUUUGAUAUACCUGUUCAGUUUUUGAAAAAUAACAUUAUGUCAGUUUAUUUCACCAAGCACACCAGCUGUGAUAAGUAACCUGAUCAAUGAUUGCAUUUAGGGAACCCAGCUGAAG
rnacentral:misc_RNA from 1 species